GACGGAGGGUGCGAGCGUUGUUCGGAAUUACUGGGCGUAAAGGGCGCGUAGGCGGUCUGUUAAGUUCGGUGUGAAAUCCCCCGGCUCACCCGGGGAAUGGCAUCGGAAACUGGCAGGCUAGAGUACCGGAGAGGAGGGUGGAAUUCCUGGUGUAGCGGUGAAAUGCGUAGAUAUCAGGAGGAACACCGGUGGCGAAGGCGGCCCUCUGGACGGGUACUGACGCUGAGGCGCGAAAGCGUGGGGAUCAAACAGG
rnacentral:rRNA from 1 species